UACGUAGGGUGCGAGCGUUGUCCGGAAUUAUUGGGCGUAAAGGGCUCGUAGGCGGUUUGUCGCGUCGGGAGUGAAAACCUUGGGCUUAACUCAGGGCUUGCUUUCGAUACGGGCAGACUAGAGGUAUGCAGGGGAGAACGGAAUUCCUGGUGUAGCGGUGAAAUGCGCAGAUAUCAGGAGGAACACCGGUGGCGAAGGCGGUUCUCUGGGCAUUACCUGACGCUGAGGAGCGAAAGCGUGGGGAGCAAACAGG
rnacentral:rRNA from 1 species